rnacentral:lncRNA from 1 species
AGAAGUUUUCCCUGAAUGUUUUGUGCUCUCUCACACAUUUUCUGGUUUCUCCCACACAGCUGUCCAACAUCCUGAAACAUUGUUCUUUGGCACCCCAGUUCUCAAUUAUGACUGAAUAUUGGAAUCGUCCCGGUUUCAAAUGGGUGAUGGUGACCCAGCAGAAGAUAGGCAGACAAGAGACAUCUCACAAGAUACAGAAUCAUAAAGAAGAAGAGUCUCCGUAUAUUUCAGGGCUAUUAUCCUGUAUCUCUGCCUCUUUCCUAACUCAUCACGGCCUGAAAAGAUGUGGUUUUGGAAGCCAAAAGAGCACAGGUUAGAGUAAUUGGUU